rnacentral:rRNA from 1 species
GACAGAGGGUGCAAACGUUGUUCGGAAUUACUGGGCGUAAAGAGCUCGUAGGUGGCUCGGUAAGUCGGGUGUGAAAUUUCGAGGCUCAACCUCGAGACGCCACCUGAUACUGCUGUGGCUAGAGUCCGGUAGGGGAGCGUGGAAUUCCUGGUGUAGCGGUGAAAUGCGCAGAUAUCAGGAGGAACACCAGCGGCGAAGGCGGCGCUCUGGGCCGGUACUGACACUGAGGAGCGAAAGCGUGGGGAUCAAACAGG